rnacentral:rRNA from 1 species
AGAGUUUGAUCAUGGCUCAGAAUCAACGCUGGCGGCGUGCCUCAGACAUGCAAGUCGAACGAUUAAACUCGUCUUCGGACGAGAUAUAAAGUGGCGCACGGGUGAGUAACACGUAGGUAAUCUACCUUUGAGUGGGGAAUAACUUAGGGAAACUUAAGCUAAUACCGCAUAAUGCAGCGGCACCUUCGGGUGACAGUUGUUAAAGGAGCAAUCCGCUUAAAGAGGAGCCUGCGGCAGAUUAGCUAGUUGGUAAGGUAAUGGCUUACCAAGGCUACGAUCUGUAACCGACCUGAGAGGGUGGUCGGUCACACUGACACUGAAUAACGGGUCAGACUCCUACGGGAGGCAGCAGUCGGGAAUUUUGGGCAAUGGGCGAAAGCCUGACCCAGCAACGCCGCGUGAAGGAUGAAGUAUUUCGGUAUGUAAACUUCGAAAGAAUGGGAAGAAUAAAUGACGGUACCAUUUAUAAGGUCCGGCUAACUACGUGCCAGCAGCCGCGGUAAUACGUAGGGACCAAGCGUUGUUCGGAUUUACUGGGCGUAAAGGGCGCGUAGGCGGCGUGUUAAGUCAGCUGUGAAAUCUCCGAGCUUAACUCGGAACGGUCAGCUGAUACUGAUGUGCUAGAGUGCAGAAGGGGCAAUCGGAAUUCUUGGUGUAGCGGUGAAAUGCGUAGAUAUCAAGAGGAACACCUGAGGUGAAGACGGGUUGCUGGGCUGACACUGACGCUGAGGCGCGAAAGCUAGGGUAGCAAACGGGAUUAGAUACCCCAGUAGUCC